rnacentral:lncRNA from 1 species
UUUCUUUUUCCUCCCCUUUGAACUGGAAAAUGGCCCACUUCCCACUGGCGAAAACUCAUGAAAUUUGGCAGGACGACCGGGCCUGGUGAAAAAUUUGAUAUUCUGAAGUCGCCCAAACAAUACAAUGCAAAAUGGCUCCAUAGCGCCCCCUAAGGUGAAAAAUUCACCUGACGCCUGUACGCUUUGUCAAAAUGACACAAAAAUUGACACACACAUGUAUCUCAAUAAGAUCUACAAAAAAGUCAGUGCUGGCGUAUCUGUCAAAUGUACGGUUAAAGGGUUAUUGCGCGUUUUUUGCCGAUCCGCACACAUUGGAAUUUCGCUAACUCCUCCGAAGGCUUUCGUUCCACCGGCACCACAUUUGCUCAGGCCAAUCUACACCCCAUGGCCAUUAAAAGUUAUUCAAAUCAUGACGCUGCACCCCACGGUUUAGGUUCUAGGGGGCGCCAAAGAUAACCCUAAAAUCCACAUAUUUCAAAGUCUUAUAACUUUUUAUUUUUGCCCUCACUGGCCUCCAAGUUUUCUAGGAUGAUGCAAUGUCCAGCCAUCAACACAUUUGUGAAGGAAUUUUUACUCCCCAAAAGAGCGCCCCCCCAUGGCAGGAGAAAAAAGUCCAUUUUUUCUUGUCCCAUAAGGUGAAAAUUCACACUAUUGACUGUCACGCCUGUACGCUUUGUCAAAAUUACACAAAAAUUGACACACACAUGUAUCUCAAUAAGAUCUACAAAAAAGUCAGUGCUGGCGUAUCUGUCAAAUGUACGGUUAAAGGGUUAUUGCGCGUUUUUUGCCGAUCCGCACACAUUGGAAUUUCGCUAACUCCUCCGAAGGCUUUCGUUCCACCGGCACCACAUUUGCUCAGGCCAAUCUACACCCCAUGGCCAUUAAAAGUUAUUCAAAUCAUGACGCUGCACCCCACGGUUUAGGUUCUAGGGGGCGCCAAAGAUAACCCUAAAAUCCACAUAUUUAAAAGUCAUAACUUUUUAUUUUUGUCCUCUCUGGCCUCCAAGUUUUCUAGGAUGAUGCAAUGUCCAGCCAUCAACACAUUUGUGAAGGAAUUUUUACUCCCCAAAAGAGCGCCCCCCCAUGGCAGGAGAAAAAAGUCCAUUUUUUCUUGUCCCAUAAGGUGAAAAUACACAUUGUUGACUGUCAUACCUGUAUGCUUUGUCAUAUUGACACAAAAUUUGACACACACAUGUAUCUCAAUAAGAUCUACGAAAAAGUCAAUGCGCGCGUAUCUGUAAAAUGUACGGUUAAAGGGCUAUUUUGCAUUUUUGCCGAUUAGCACACAUUGGAAUGUGGCUAACUCCUCCUAAGGCUUUCGUCCCACUGACACCAAAUUUGCUCAGGCCAAUCUACACCCCAUGGCCAUUCAAAGUUUUAAAAAUCAUGACGCUGCACCCCACGGUUUACGUUCUGGGGGCGCCAAAGAUGACCCAAAUAUCCACCCCCCCCCCCCCCCCCCAUCCCCCAUCCCCCAUGGCAGGAGAAAAAGUCAAGUUUUUCCUGCCCAUCACUCAAUGGCUCAAUCGCAUCGCUCUCCCGGCAACACCGUAACGAGGAGCAACUUGCCGUUUGGAUAUAUCCUAGCUGUGUUUGUGCCCUCACUCAUGGUCCAGACUUUUUUCAAAUAGGACAUGUAGUUUGUCUGCAGCGAGUGUUUUGGUAGAAACUGCGCCUCCCAUUCAUUAUAAUGGGAAAUGACCACAGACAAGUGCGCACACCAUCUUUGGACCUUGAGUGUGACGCGAUCGGGAGGGGGAGGCGGUCGCACUGGGGGCGGCGCAACUCGGCUCGGGCCCGCCAGUGCCCCAACGGGGCCCUAGUUAGGGCCCGAGCGUAGCUGCUAAGCAGCUGCGAGAGCCCUAUUAUUCCCCAAGUGGUUUUUAGGGCCCGAGCGUAGCUGCUAAGCAGCUGCGAGAGCCCUAUUAUUCCCCAAGUGGUUUUUCUUUGUUUCUUUUUUCUUUUUCCUCCCCUUUGAACUGGAAAAUGGCCCACUUCCCACUGGCGAAAACUCAUGAAAUUUGGCAGGACGACCGGGCCUGGUGAAAAAUUUGAUAUUCCGAAGUCGCCCAAACAAGAAAAUGCAAAAUGGCUCCAUAGCGCCCCCUAAGGUGAAAAUUCACACUAUUCACUGUCACGCCGGUACGCUUUGUCAAAAUGACACAAAAAUUGACACACACAUGUAUCUCAAUAAGAUCUACAAAAAAGUCAGUGCGGGCGUAUCUGUCAAAUGUACGGGUUAAAGGGUUAUUUCGCAUUUUUUGCCGAUCCGCACACAUUGGAAUUUCGCUAACUCCUCCGAAGGCUUUCGUUCCACCGGCACCACAUUUGCUCAGGCCAAUCUACACCCCAUGGCCAUUAAAAGUUAUUCAAAUCAUGACGCUGCACCCCACGGUUUAGGUUCUAGGGGGCGCCAAAGAUAACCCUAAGAUCCACAUAUUUAAAAGUCUUAUAACUUUUUAUUUUUGCCCUCACUGGCCUCCAAGUUUUCUAGGAUGAUGCAAUGUCCAGCCAUCAACACAUUUGUGAAGGAAUUUUUACUCCCCAAAAGAGCGCCCCCCCAUGGCAGGAGAAAAAAGUCCAUUUUUUCUUGUCCCCUAAGGUGAAAAUACACAUUGUUGAGUGUAACACCUGUACGCUUUGGCAAAAUGACACAAAAAUUGACACACACAUGUAUCUCAAUAAGAUCUACGAAAAAGUCAAUGCGCGCGUAUCUGUCAAAUGUACGGUUAAAGGGUUAUUCCACAUUUUUUGCCGAUCCGCACACAUUGGAAUUUCGCUAACUCCUCCUAAGGCUUUCGUUCCACCGGCACCACAUUUGGUCAGGCCAAUCUACACCCCAUGGCCAUUAAAAGUUAUUCAAAUCAUGACGCUGCACCCCACGGUUUAGGUUCUAGGGGGAGCCAAAGAUAACCGUAAAAUCCACAUAUUUAAAAGUCUUAUAACUUUUUAUUUUUGUCCCCACUGGCCUCCAAGUUUUCUAGGAUGAUGCAAUGUCCAGCCAUCAACACAUUUGUGAAGGAAUUUUUACUCGGCAAAAGAGCGCCCCCCCAUGGCAGGAGAAAAAAGUCAAUUUUUUCUUGUCCACUAAGGUGAAAAUACACAUUGUUGAGUGCUACGCCUGUAUGUUUUGUCGUAUUGACACAAAAUUUUACAUACACGUGUAUUUACAUAAGAUCUUCGAAAAAGUCAAUGGCCACGUAUCUGUAAAAUGUACGGUUAAAGGGUUAUUUCGCAUUUUUUGCAGAUUCGCACACAUUGGAAUUUCGCUAAUUCCUCCGAAGGCUUUCGUUCCACCGGCACCACAUUUGCUCAGGCCAAUCUACACCCCAUGGCCAUUAAAAGUUAUUCAAAUCAUGACACUGCACCCCACGGUUUAGGUUCUAGGGGGCGCCAAAUAUAACCCUAAAAUCCACAUAACUAGUUAGGGCCCGAGCGUAGCUGCUAAGCAGCUGCGAGAGCCCUCUUGUUCCUGUAGUUUCCUUCUUUUGUUAUUAUUAUUAGGGCCCGAGCGUAGCUGCUAAGCAGCUGCGAGAGCCCUAUUAUUCCCCAAGGGGUUUUUCUUUGUUUCUUUUUUCUUUUUCCUCCCCUUUGAACUGGAAAAUGGCCCACUUCCCACUGGCGAAAACUCAUGAAAUUUGGCAGGACGACCGGGCCUGGUGAAAAAUUUGAUAUUCCGAAGUCGCCCAAACAAGAAAAUGCAAAAUGGCUCCAUAGCGCCCCCUAAGGUGAAAAUUCACACUAUUGAGUGUCACGCCUGUACGCUUUGUCAAAAUGACACAAAAUUUGACACACACAUGUAUCUCAAUAAGAUCUACAAAAAAGUCAGUGCGGGCGUAUCUGUCAAAUGUACGGUUAAAGGGUUAUUUCGCAUUUUUUGCCGAUCCGCACACAUUGGAAUUUCGCUAACUCCUUUGAAGGCUUUCGUUCCACCGGCACCACAUUUGCUCAGGCCAAUCUACACCCCAUGGCCAUUAAAAGUUAUUCAAAUCAUGACGCUGCACCCCACGGUUUAGGUUCUAGGGGGCGCCAAAGAUAACCCUAAAAUCCACAUAUUUAAAAGUCUUAUAACUUUUUAUUUUUGCCCUCACUGGCCUCCAAGUUUUCUAGGAUGAUGCAAUGUCCAGCCAUCAACACAUUUGUGAAGGAAUUUUUACUCCCCAAAAGAGCGCCCCCCCAUGGCAGGAGAAAAAAGUCCAUUUUUUCUUGUCCCCUAAGGUGAAAAUACACAUUGUUGAGUGUCACGCCUGUACGCUUUGUCAAAAUGACACAAAAAUUGACACACACAUGUAUCUCAAUAAGAUCUACAAAAAAGUCCAUGCGCGCGUAUCUGUCAAAUGUACGGUUAAAGGGUUAUUCCGCAUUUUUUGCCGAUUCGCACACAUUGGAAUUUCGCUAACUCCUCCGAAGGCUUUCGUUCCACCGGCACCACAUUUGCUCAGGCCAAUCUACACCCCAUGGCCAUUAAAAGUUAUUCAAAUCAUGACGCUGCACCCCACGGUUUACGUUCUAGGGGGCGCCAAAGAUAACCCAAAAAUCCACAUUUUUAAAAGUCUUAUAACUUUUUAUUUUUGUCCUCACUGGCCUCCAAGUUUUCUAGGAUGAUGCAAUGUCCAGCCAUCAACACAUUUGUGAAGGAAUUUUUACUCCCUAAAAGAGCGCCCCCCCAUGGCAGGAGAAAAAAGUCCAUUUUUUCUUGUCCCCUAAGGUGAAAAUACACAUUGUUGACUGUCACGCCUGUACGCUUUGGCAAAAUGACACAAAAAUUGACAAUCAUGUGUAUCUCAAUUAGAUCUACGAAAAAGUCAAAGAGCGCGUAUCUGUAUAAUGUACGGUAAAAGGGCUAUUUUGCAUUUUUUGCCGAUUCGCACACAUUGGAAUUUCGCUAAGUCCUCCUAAGGCUUUCGUCCCACUGACACCAAAUUUGCUCAGGCCAAUCUACACUCCAUGGCCAUUCAAAGUUGUAAAAAUCAUGACGCUGCACCCCACGGUUUACGUUUUAGGGGGCGCCAAAGAUGACCCAAAUAUACAUUACAGUAGACAAAGUAGUUUUGCCCACUGAGUGGCGCCAAAGGGACUUGUCUGUGGAGUCUGUGAGUCACUAUUGGCCGUUUUUGACUACUUUAGAUUUUACCUUUAUAUUUCCUCUUACAAAAUUUUUACCUUGCCUUGCCUGGUAUCAUUUUUUUCAGCACAACCUCACCUGUGUCAAUUUACAGUUAUUUUAUCAUUUUGACAUACUAUAUUUACACAUUGGACCCAAAUUCACACACAAAACAUAAAAUCCGAGUGGAAAAAAGUAACGUUUUUACUGUGAAAACCACAAAUAUGUGUGAUGAACUGUUUUUAAAACUUAAACUUCAAAUUAAAAUUGUAAACUUCAAAACAUAUGCAAAUUUUUAACAAAGAACAUAGUAAUUUACCUCUAUUUACAUCAAAAUGCAGGCAAUGGCCCAGGUGUUCUUUGUAAAAUUAUUUACAAAACACUGUAUAGUCUCACAAAUGUCACUUUUUAUUUAUGCCACUACAAAAAAACAUGAUGUAAAUGAUGCAUGAUGUAAAACAUGAUGUAAAAAACUUGUGUAGAUCCUCCUCUAUGUUAGUCCAUGUGUAAUUUUUCCAUAAUUCUUUGUUUUUUGCAGCAUUUUUGUUAGUGUAACUGCAGAUUGUGCUGACAGUGUCUAUGGCAAAAAAAAAAAAAAAACUGAAAAUGCCUCAACAUGAACCCCUGGUGGUCUCUGAGGGUGAAACCUGCUAACUGCUGCAGCUCUGUCAGCUUCAGUCUCCCAUGCAGAGCUCGGAGCGCAUGUGUGGCUCUGCACCCUUAGCAGCGUUGCUAACUCCUCAGUAAGGAAAGCCUGCUUCAUGUCAGAGUCUCUAAACUCCAGAAGAAGUCGAUAAAAGUCACUUUCUUUCUAAAAAAAAAGUCGUUAGGGGGUCUGAAAAGUCAUUGAAUCUAACAACAAAGUCGCUAGGUUUGCAACUACGUGUCCCAGACUGCAUCCCUGCUGAGAGUCCCUCCCUCCCUUCUCAUAUUGCAGGAAGAACGUAAGCGCCCGCCCCUUGUCAAUCAGUCACCAUAUAAUUUUGGAUUGGUUGUUGUGGUGAAGUUUUCCACCAAUAGGAGAGAUGUUGUGGUGUGUUUUUUUUUUCCUUUGGCAAGCCUUUUCCGCCUGUAAGACCUGUCGCUAAUGUCUGCAUGCUAUGUUUUCCUGUCUCAUACAGCGCGAUCGAGCGCCGAACGUGAUCAAAAUAAGCAGAAAACAAGUAUCGCGGACAUAAUUUAUCAUAACUCUGGUUUUAUUUGGCCUAUCAACACAAUUUAAAAACUGGUAUAUAGGUUGAGGUCCUCACUUUUGAGAUAAGUUGAAACGGAGUCAACGAGGCUCCGUCUUGCAGCUACAUCCGGUUAAAUAUGUCAUGUGACUUGAACGCACACACACACACACACACACACACACACACACACAGACACACACACACACGCACACACACACACUCAGAGUCUGGUUUUUAGCACCUGCAAAAACAUGCUAUUUACAUAUUUGACAAGAAUGCAGAGGCUCCUUUUGCCCCUGAAAAAAAUCAAAUUUCAAACACAACUUGACUGCUCAUUUCUCCAAAAGACAACCAUGAAGCUCCAUCCAAACCUGAAGCAGGCAGUUGGUGCAUGUGUACAGUAACCUGAGGGGAGUGAGGUGACUGCUUCUGAGGAGAACAUGAGCAGUGAAGAUUCACCUUAGAGCUAGAACAGAGACGUGCACAUGAUUAUACAGGGGCAGGGGCUCAAGUUUUUUCCAGUUGUUUAUACAAUAUGGAAAUUAAUGUGAAAUUAAAAAACAAAGUAUUAAUAGAAAGGUAAUGACUGUCCUGUGUAGGUGACAGUGAUAUCCAAUAGGCUAGGCACUCACGAGGCUGGCUGUGGCAAGUGUAAGUGAAAGCAACACGCACUGGCAGGAAGAACAGCAAACGCCGAUGAAGGAAAAGGGUCUUUGCAGUGAUGGGCGUUACCAGAGAGGGCGAUGGCCAGAGGACACAAAUGGGACGGGGAGGCAGCACGUUGGGGGGGGGGGGGGGGGGGGACGCGACACGGCUCGGGCCCGCCAGUGCCCCAACGGGGUCCUAGUUCUUUGUUUCUUUUUUCUUUUUCCUCCCCUUUGAACUGGAAAAUGGCCCACUUCCCACUGGCGAAAACUCAUGAAAUUUGGCAGGACGACCGGGCCUGGUGAAAAAUUUGAUAUUCUGAAGUCGCCCAAACAAUAAAAUGCAAAAUGGCUCCAUAGCGCCCCCUAAGGUGAAAAUUCACAUGACGGCUGUACGCUUUGUCAUAUUGACACAAAAAUUGACACACACAUGUAUCUCAAUAAGAUCUACAAAAAAGUCAGUGCGGGCGUAUCUGUCAAAUGUACGGUUAAUGGGUUAUUUUGCAUUUUUUGCAGAUCUGCACACAUUGGAAUUUCGCUAACUCCUCCGAAGGCUUUCGUUCCACCGGCACCACAUUUGCUCAGGCCAAUCUACACCCCAUGGCCAUUAAAAGUUAUUCAAAUCAUGACGCUGCACCCCACGGUUUAAGGUUCUAGGGGGCGCCAAAAAUAACCCUAAAAUCCACAUAUUUAAAAGUCUUAUAACUUUUUAUUUUUGUCCUCACUGGCCUCCAAGUUUUCUAGGAUGAUGCAAUGUCCAGCCAUCAACACAUCUGUGAAGGAAUUUUUACUCCCCAAAAGAGCGCCCCCCCAUGGCAGGAGAAAAAAGUCCAUUUUUUUCUUGACCCCUAAGGUGAAAAUACACAUUGUUGAGUGUCACGCCUUUACGCUUUGGCAAAAUGACACAAAAAUUGACACACACAUGUAUCUCAAUAAGAUCUACAAAAAAGUCCAUGAGCGCGUAUCUGUCAAAUGUACGGUUAAAGGGUUAUUCCGCAUUUUUUGCCGAUCCGCACACAUUGGAAUGUGGCUAACUCCUCCUAAGGCUUUCGUUCCACCGGCAACACAUUUGCUCAGGCCAAUCUACACCCCAUGGCCAUUAAAAGUUAUCAAAAUCAUGACGCUGCACCCCACGGUUUAGGUUCUAGGGGGCGCCAAAGAUAACCCUAAAAUCCACAUAUUUAAAAGUCUUAUAACUUUUUAUUUUUGUCCUCACUGGCCUCCAAGUUUUCUAGGAUGAUGCAAUGUCCAGCCAUCAACACAUUUGUGAAGGAAUUUUUACUCCCCAAAAGAGCUCCCCCCCAUGGCAGGAGAAAAAAGUCAAUUUUUUCUUGUCCCCUAAGGUGAAAAUACAUAUUGUUGAGAUUCACGCCUAUACGCUUUGUCAUAUUGACACAAAAUUUGACAAUCACGUGCCUUGCCUGGUAUCAUUUUUUUCAGCACAACCUCACCUGUGCGAAUUUACAGUUAUUUUAUCAUGUUGACAUACUGAAUUUACACAAUGGACCCAAAUUCACACACAAAACAUAAAAUCCGAGUGGAAAAAAGUAACAUUUUUACUGUGAAAACCACAAAUAUGUGUGAUGAACUGUUUUUAAAACUUAAACUUCAAAUAAAAAUUGUAAACUUCAAAACAUAUGCAAAUUUUUAACAAAGAACAUAGUGAUUUACCUCUAUUUACAUCAAAAUGCAGGCAAUGGCCCAGGCGUUCUUUGUAAAAUUAUUUACAAAACACUGUAUAGUCUCACAAAUGUCACUUUUUAUUUAUGCCACUACAAAAAAACAUGAUGUAAAUGAUGCAUGAUGUAAAACAUGAUGUAAAAAACUUGUGUAGAUCCUCCUCUAUGUCAGUCCAUGUGUAAUUUUUCCAUAAUUCUUUGUUUUUUGCAGCAUUUUUGUUAGUGUAACUGCAGAUUGUGCUGACAGUGUCUAUGGCACAAAAAAAAAAAAAAUUAAAAUGCCUCAACAUGAACCCCUGGUGGUCUCUGAGGGUGAAACCUGCUAACUGCUGCAGCUCUGUCAGCUUCAGUCUCCCAUGCAGAGCUCUGAGCGCAUGUGUGGCUCUGCACCCUUAGCAGCGUUGCUAACUCCUCAGUAAGGAAAGCCUGCUUCAUGUCAGAGUCUCUAAACUCCAGAAGAAGUCGAUAAAAGUCCCUUUCUUUCUAAAAAAAAAGUCGUUAGGGGGUCUGAAAAGUCAUUGAAUCUAACAACAAAGUCGCUAGGUUUGCAACUACGUGUCCCAGACUGCAUCCCUGCUGAGAGUCCCUCCCUCGCUUCUCAUGUUGCAGGAAGAACGUAAGCACCCGCCCCUUGUCAAUCAGUCACCAUAUAAUUUUGGAUUGGUUGUUGUGGUGAAGUUUUCCACCAAUAGGAGAGAUGUUGUGGUGUGUUUUUUUUUCCUUUUGGCAAGCCUUUUCCGCCUGUAAGACCUGUCGCUAAUGUCUGCAUGCUAUGUUUUCCUGUCUCAUACAGCGCGAUCGAGCGCCGAACGUGAUCAAAAUAAGCAGAAAAAAAGUAUCGCGGACAUAAUUUAUCAUAACUCUGGUUUUAUUUGGCCUAUCAACACAAUUUAAAAACUGGUAUAUAGGUUGAGGUCCUCACUUUUGAGAUAAGUUGAAACGGAGAGUCAACGAGGCUCCGUCUUGCAGCUACAUCCGGUUAAAUAUGUCAUGUGACUUGAACGCACACACAGACACACACACACGCACACACACACACACACACACACACACACACACACACACACACACACACUCAGAGUCUGGUUUUUAGCACCUGCAAAAACAUGCUAUUUACAUAUUUGACAAGAAUGCAGAGGCUCCUUUUGCCCCUGAAAAAAAUCAAAUUUCAAACACAACUUGACUGGUCAUUUCUCCAAAAGACAACCAUGAAGCUCCAUCCAAACCUGAAGCAGGCAGUUGGUGCAUGUGUACAGUAACCUGAGGGGAGUGAGGUGAGUGCUUCUGAGGAGAACAUGAGCAGUGAAGAUUCACUUUGGAGCUAGAACAGAGACAUGCACAUGAUUAUACAGGGGCAGGGGCUCAAGUUUUUUCCAGUCGUUUAUACAAUAUGGAAAUUAAUGUGAAAUUAAAACACAAAGUAUUAAUAGAAAGGUAAUGACUGUCCUGUGUAGGUGACAGUGAUAUCCAAUAGGCUAGGCACUCACGAGGCUGGCUGUGGCAAGUGUAAGUGAAAGCAACACGCACUGGCAAGAAGAACAGCAAACGCCGAUGAAGGAAAAGGGUCUUUGCAGUGAUGGGCGUUACCAGAGAGGGCGAUGGCCAGAGGACACAAAUGGGACGGGGAGGCAGCACGUUGGGGGGGGGGACGCGACACGGCUCGGGCCCGCCAGUGCCCCAACGGGGUUCUAGUUAGGGCCCGAGCGUAGCUGCUAAGCAGCUGCGAGAGCCCUAUUAUUCCCCAAGGGGUUUUUAGGGCCCGAGCGUAGCUGCUAAGCAGCUGCGAGAGCCCUCUUGUUCCUGUAGUUUCCUUCUUUUUAGGGCCCGAGCGUAGCUGCUAAGCAGCUGCGAGAGCCCUCUUGUUCCUGUAGUUUCCUUCUUUUGUUAUUAUUAUUAUUAUUAUUUUUCCUCCCCUUUGAACUGGAAAAUGGCCCACUUCCCACUGGCGAAAACUCAUGAAAUUUGGCAGGACGACCGGGCCUGGUGAAAAAUUUGAUAUUCCGAAGUCGCCCAAACAAGAAAAUGCAAAAUGGCUCCAUAGCGCCCCCUAAGGUGAAAAUUCACACUAUUCACUGUCACGCCGGUACGCUUUGUCAAAAUGACACAAAAAUUGACACACACAUGUAUCUCAAUAAGAUCUACAAAAAAGUCAGUGCGGGCGUAUCUGUCAAAUGUACGGUUAAAGGGUUAUUUCGCAUUUUUUGCCGAUCCGCACACAUUGGAAUUUCGCUAACUCCUCCGAAGGCUUUCGUUCCACCGGCACCACAUUUGCUCAGGCCAAUCUACACCCCAUGGCCAUUAAAAGUUAUUCAAAUCAUGACGCUGCACCCCACGGUUUAGGUUCUAGGGGGCGCCAAAGAUAACCCUAAGAUCCACAUAUUUAAAAGUCUUAUAACUUUUUAUUUUUGCCCUCACUGGCCUCCAAGUUUUCUAGGAUGAUGCAAUGUCCAGCCAUCAACACAUUUGUGAAGGAAUUUUUACUCCCCAAAAGAGCGCCCCCCCAUGGCAGGAGAAAAAAGUCCAUUUUUUCUUGUCCCCUAAGGUGAAAAUACACAUUGUUGAGUGUAACACCUGUACUUUGGCAAAAUGACACAAAAAUUGACACACACAUGUAUCUCAAUAAGAUCUACGAAAAAGUCAAUGCGCGCGUAUCUGUCAAAUGUACGGUUAAAGGGUUAUUCCGCAUUUUUUGCCGAUCCGCACACAUUGGAAUUUCGCUAACUCCUCCGAAGGCUUUCGUUCCACCGGCACCACAUUUGCUCAGGCCAAUCUACACCCCAUGGCCAUUAAAAGUUAUUCAAAUCAUGACGCUGCACCCCACGGUUUAGGUUCUAGGGGGAGCCAAAGAUAACCGUAAAAUCCACAUAUUUAAAAGUCUUAUAACUUUUUAUUUUUGUCCCCACUGGCCUCCAAGUUUUCUAGGAUGAUGCAAUGUCCAGCCAUCAACACAUUUGUGAAGGAAUUUUUACUCGGCAAAAGAGCGCCCCCCCAUGGCAGGAGAAAAAAGUCAAUUUUUUCUUGUCCACUAAGGUGAAAAUACACAUUGUUGAGUGCUACGCCUGUAUGUUUUGUCGUAUUGACACAAAAUUUUACAUACACGUGUAUUUACAUAAGAUCUUCGAAAAAGUCAAUGGCCACGUAUCUGUAAAAUGUACGGUUAAAGGGUUAUUUUGCAUUUUUUGCAGAUUCGCACACAUUGGAAUUUCGCUAAUUCCUCCGAAGGCUUUCGUUCCACCGGCACCACAUUUGCUCAGGCCAAUCUACACCCCAUGGCCAUUAAAAGUUAUUCAAAUCAUGACGCUGCACCCCACGGUUUAGGUUCUAGGGGGCGCCAAAUAUAACCCUAAAAUCCACAUAUUUAAAAGUCUUAUAACUUUUUAUUUUUGUCCUCACUGGCCUCCAUGUUUUCUAGGAUGAUGCAAUGUCCAGCCAUCAACACAUUUGUGAAGGAGUUUUUCUCUUUAAAAGAGCGCCCCCCAUGGCAGGAGAAUAAAGUCAAGUUUUUCCUGUUCAUCAUUCAAUGGCUCAAACGCACUGCUCUCUCGGCAAAAGCGGAAGGAGGAGCAACUUGCCAUUUGGAUAUAUCUUAGCUGUGUUUGUGCCCUCACUCAUGGUCCAGACUUUUUUCAAAUAGGACAUGGAGUUUUUCUGCAGCGAGCGUUUUGGUAGAAACUGCGCCUCCCGUUCAUUAUAAUGGUAAAUGACCACAAACAAGUGCGCACACCAUCUUUGGACCUUGAGUGUGACGCGAUCGGGUGGGGGAGGCGGUCGCGCUGGGGGCGGCGUGACACGGCUCGGGCCCGCCAGUGCCCCAACGGGGCCCUAGUUAUUAUUUUUCCUCCCCUUUGAACUGGAAAAUGGCCCACUUCCCACUGGCGAAAACUCAUGAAAUUUGGCAGGACGACCGGGCCUGGUGAAAAAUUUGAUAUUCCGAAGUCGCCCAAACAAGAAAAUGCAAAAUGGCUCCAUAGCGCCCCCUAAGGUGAAAAUUCACACUAUUCACUGUCACGCCUGUACGCUUUGGCAAAAUGACACAAAAAUUGACACACACAUGUAUCUCAAUAAGAUCUACAAAAAAGUCAGUGCGGGCGUAUCUGUCAAAUGUACGGUUAAAGGGUUAUUUCGCAUUUUUUGCCGAUCCGCACACAUUGGAAUUUCGCUAACUCCUCCGAAGGCUUUCGUUCCACCGGCACCACAUUUGCUCAGGCCAAUCUACACCCCAUGGCCAUUAAAAGUUAUUCAAAUCAUGACGCUGCACCCCACGGUUUAGGUUCUAGGGGGCGCCACAGAUAACCCUAAGAUCCACAUAUUUAAAAGUCUUAUAACUUUUUAUUUUUGCCCUCACUGGCCUCAAAGUUUUCUAGGAUGAUGCAAUGUCCAGCCAUCAACACAUUUGUGAAGGAAUUUUUACUCCCCAAAAGAGCGCCCCCCAUGGCAGGAGAAAAAAGUCCAUUUUUUCUUGUCCCCUAAGGUGAAAAUACACAUUGUUGAGUGUAACACCUGUACGCUUUGGCAAAAUGACACAAAAAUUGACACACACAUGUAUCUCAAUAAGAUCUACGAAAAAGUCAAUGCGCGCGUAUCUGUUAAAUGUACGGUUAAAGGGUUAUUCCGCAUUUUUUGCCGAUCCGCACACAUUGGAAUUUCGCUAACUCCUCCGAAGGCUUUCGUUCCACCGGCACCACAUUUGCUCAGGCCAAUCUACACCCCAUGGCCAUUAAAAGUUAUUCAAAUCAUGACGCUGCACCCCACGGUUUAGGUUCUAGGGGGAGCCAAAGAUAACCGUAAAAUCCACAUAUUUAAAAGUCUUAUAACUUUUUAUUUUUGUCCCCACUGGCCUCCAAGUUUUCUAGGAUGAUGCAAUGUCCAGCCAUCAACACAUUUGUGAAGGAAUUUUUACUCCCCAAAAGAGCGCCCCCCCAUGGCAGGAGAAAAAAGUCAAUUUUUUCUUGUCCCAUAAGGUGAAAAAACACAUUGUUGAGUGUCACGCCUCUACGCUUUGUCAAAAUGACACAAAAUUUGACAAUCACGUGUAUCUCAAUAAGAUCUAUGAAAAAGUCAUGCGCAAAUAUCUGUAAAAUGUACGGUUAAAGGGCUAUUUUGCAUUUUUUGCCGAUUCGCACACAUUGGAAUGUGGCUAACUCCUCCUAAGGCUUUCGUCCCACUGACACCAAAUUUGCUCAGGCCAAUCUACACCCCAUGGCCAUUCAAAGUUGUAAAAAUCAUGACGCUGCACCCCACGGUUUACGUUCUAGGGGGUGCCAAAGAUGACCCAAAAAUCCACAUUCUUAAAAGAAUCCACAUCCCCCCCCCUCCCCCCAUGGCAGGAGAAAAAGUCAAGUUUUUCCUGCCCAUCGCUCAAUGGCUCAAUUGCAUCGCUCUCUCGGCAAAAGCGAAAGGAGGAGCAACUUGCCAUUUGGAUAUAUCCUAGCUGUGUUUGUGCCCUCACUCAUGGUCCAGACUUUUUUCAAAUAGGACAUGUAGUUUGUCUGCAGCGAGUGUUUUGGUAGAAACUGCGCCUCCCAUUCAUUAUAAUGGUAAAUGACCACAGACAAGUGCGCACUCCAUCUUUGGACCUAGAGUGUGACGCGAUCGGGAGGUGGAGGCGGUCGCGCUGGGGGCGGCGUGACGCGGCUCGGGCCCGACAGUGCCCCACCGGGGGCCCUAGUGUUAUUAGGGCCCGAGCGUAGCUGCUAAGCAGCUGCGAGAGCCCUCUUGUUCCUGCAUGUUUCCUUCUUUUGUUAUUAUUAUUAUUUUUCCUCCCCUUUGAACUGGAAAAUGGCCCACUUCCCACUGGCGAAAACUCAUGAAAUUUGGCAGGACGACCGGGCCUGGUGAAAAAUUUGAUAUUCCGAAGUCGCCCAAACAAGAAAAUGCAAAAUGGCUCCAUAGCGCCCCCUAAGGUGAAAAUUCACACUAUUGACUGUCACGCCUGUACGCUUUGUCAAAAUGACACAAAAAUUGACACACACAUGUAUCUCAAUAAGAUCUACAAAAAAGUCAGUGCGGGCGUAUCUGUCAAAUGUACGGUUAAAGGGUUAUUUCGCAUUUUUUGCCGAUCCGCACACAUUGGAAUUUCGCUAACUCCUCCGAAGGCUUUCGUUCCACCGGCACCACAUUUGCUCAGGCCAAUCUACACCCCAUGGCCAUUAAAAGUUAUUCAAAUCAUGACGCUGCAUCCCACGGUUUAGGUUCUAGGGGGCGCCAAAGAUAACCCUAAGAUCCACAUAUUUAAAAGUCUUAUAACUUUUUAUUUUUGCCCUCACUGGCCUCCAAGUUUUCUAGGAUGAUGCAAUGUCCAGCCAUCAACACAUUUGUGAAGGAAUUUUUACUCCCCAAAAGAGCGCCCCCCCAUGGCAGGAGAAAAAAGUCCAUUUUUUCUUGUCCCCUAAGGUGAAAAUACACAUUGUUGAGUGUAACACCUGUACGCUUUGGCAAAAUGACACAAAAAUUGACACACACAUGUAUCUCAAUAAGAUCUACGAAAAAGUCAAUGCGCGCGUAUCUGUCAAAUGUACGGUUAAAGGGUUAUUCCGCAUUUUUUGCCGAUCCGCACACAUUGGAAUUUCGCUAACUCCUCCGAAGGCUUUCGUUCGACCGGCACCACAUUUGCUCAGGCCAAUCUACACCCCAUGGCCGUUAAAAGUUAUUCAAAUCAUGACGCUGCAUCCCACGGUUUAGGUUCUAGGGGGCGCCAAAGAUAACCCAAAAAUCCACAUAUUUAAAAGUCUUAUAACUUUUUAUUUUUGUCCUCACUGGCCUCCAAGUUUUCUAGGAUGAUGCAAUGUCCAGCCAUCAACACAUUUGUGAAGGAAUUUUUACUCCCCAAAAGAGCGCCCCCCCAUGGCAGGAGAAAAAAGUCAAUUUUUUCUUGUCCCCUAAGGUGGAAAUUCACACUAUUGACUGUCACGCCUGUACGCUUUAUCAUAUUGACACAAAAAUUGACACACAUAUGUAUCUCAAUAAGAUCUACAAAAAAGUCAACUCGCGCGUAUCUGUCAAAUGUACGGUUAAAGGGCUAUUUUGCAUUUUUUGCCGAUUCGCACACAUUGGAAUGUGGCUAACUCCUCCUAAGGCUUUCGUCCCACUGACACCAAAUUUGCUCAGGCCAAUCUACACCCCAUGGCCAUUCAAAGUUGUAAAAAUCAUGACGCUGCACCCCACGGUUUACGUUCUAGGGGGCGCCAAAGAUGACCCAAAAAUCCACAUUCUUAAAAGAAUCCACAUCCCCCCCCCCUAUGGCAGGAGAAAAAGUCAAGUUUUUCCUGCCCAUCGCUCAAUGGCUCAAUCGCAUCGCUCUCCAGGCAACACCGUAAGGAGGAGCAACCUGCCAUUUCGAUAUAUCAUAGCUGUGUUUGUGCCCUCACUCAUGGUCCAGACUUUUUUCAAAUAGGACAUGAAGUUUUUUCUGCAGCGAGUGUUUUGGUAGAAACUGCGCCUCCCAUUCAUUAUAAUGGGAAAUGACCACAGACAAGUGCGCACACCAUCUUUGGAUCUUGAGUGUGACUCGAUCGGGAGGGGGAGGCGGUCGCACUGGGGGCGGUGUGACGUGGCUCGGGCCCGACAGUGCCCCACCGGGGCCCUAGUCUUUGUUUCUUUCUUUCUUUUUUCUUUUUCCUCCCCUUUGAACUGGAAAAUGGCCCACUUCCCACUGGCGAAAACUCAUGAAAUUUGGCAGGACGACCGGGCCUGGUGAAAAAUUUGAUAUUCUGAAGUCGCCAAAACAAUAAAAUGCAAAAUGGCUCCAUAGCGCCCCCUAAAGUGAAAAUUCACACUAUUCACUGUCACGACUGUACGCUUUGUCAAAAUGACACAAAAAUUGACACACACAUGUAUCUCAAUAAGAUCUACAAAAAAGUCAGUGCGGCCGUAUCUGUCAAAAUUACGGUUAAAGGGUUAUUUCGCAUUUUUUGCCGAUCUGCACACAUUGGAAUUUCGCUAACUCCUCCGAAGGCUUUCGUUCCACCGGCACCACAUUUGCUCAGGCCAAUCUACACCCCGUGGCCAUUAAAAGUUAUCAAAAUCAUGACGCUGCACCCCAAGGUUUAGGUUCUAGGGGGCGCCAAAGUUAACACUAAAAUCCACAUAUUUAAAAGUCUUAUAACUUUUUAUUUUUGUCCUCACUGGCCUCCAAGUUUUCUAGGAUGAUGCAAUGUCCAGCCAUCAACACAUUUGUGAAGGAAUUUUUACUCCCCAAAAGAGCGCCCCCCCAUGGCAGGAGAAAAAAGUCCAUUUUUUCUUGUCCCCUAAGGUGAAAAUACACAUUGUUGAGUGUCACGCCUAUACGCUUUGUCAAAAUGACACAAAAAUUGACACACACAUGUAACUCAAUAAGAUCUACGAAAAAGUCAAUGCGCGCGUAUCUGUCAAAUGUACGGUUAAAGGGUUAUUCCGCAUUUUUUGCCGAUCCGCACACAUUGAAAUGUGGCUAACUCCUCCUAAGGCUUUCGUUCCACCGGCACCACAUUUGCUCAGGCCAAUCUACACCCCAUGGCCAUUAAAAGUUAUCAAAAUCAUGACGCUGCACCCCACGGUUUAGGUUCUAGGGGGCGCCAAAGAUAACCCUAAAAUCCACAUAUUUAAAAGUCUUAUAACUUUUUAUUUUUGUCCUCACUGGCCUCCAAGUUUUCUAGGAUGAUGCAAUGUCCAGCCAUCAACACAUUUGUGAAGGAAUUUUUACUCCCCAAAAGAGCGCCCCCCCAUGGCAGGAGAAAAAAGUCCAUUUUUUCUUGUCCCCUAAGGUGAAAAUACAUAUUGUUGAGAUUCACGCCUAUACGCUUUGUCAUAUUGACACAAAAUUUGACAAUCACGUGCCUUGCCUGGUAUCAUUUUUUUCAGCACAACCUCACCUGUGCGAAUUUACAGUUAUUUUAUCAUGUUGACAUACUGAAUUUACACAAUGGACCCAAAUUCACACACAAAACAUAAAAUCCGAGUGGAAAAAAGUAACAUUUUUACUGUGAAAACCACAAAUAUGUGUGAUGAACUGUUUUUAAAACUUAAACUUCAAAUAAAAAUUGUAAACUUCAAAACAUAUGCAAAUUUUUAACAAAGAACAUAGUGAUUUACCUCUAUUUACAUCAAAAUGCAGGCAAUGGCCCAGGCGUUCUUUGUAAAAUUAUUUACAAAACACUGUAUAGUCUCACAAAUGUCACUUUUUAUUUAUGCCACUACAAAAAAACAUGAUGUAAAUGAUGCAUGAUGUAAAACAUGAUGUAAAAAACUUGUGUAGAUCCUCCUGUAUGUCAGUCCCUGUGUAAUUUUUCCAUAAUUCUUUGUUUUUUGCAGCAUUUUUGUUAGUGUAACUGCAGAUUGUGCUGACAGUGUCUAUGGCACAAAAAAAAAAAAAAAUUAAAAUGCCUCAACAUGAACCCCUGGUGGUCUCUGAGGGUGAAACCUGCUAACUGCUGCAGCUCUGUCAGCUUCAGUCUCCCAUGCAGAGCUCUGAGCGCAUGUGUGGCUCUGCACCCUUAGCAGCGUUGCUAACUCCUCAGUAAGGAAAGCCUGCUUCAUGUCAGAGUCUCUAAACUCCAGAAGAAGUCGAUAAAAGUCCCUUUCUUUCUAAAAAAAAGUCGUUAGGGGGUCUGAAAAGUCAUUGAAUCUAACAACAAAGUCGCUAGGUUUGCAACUACGUGUCCCAGACUGCAUCCCUGCUGAGAGUCCCUCCCUCCCUUCUCAUGUUGCAGGAAGAACGUAAGCGCCCGCCCCUUGUCAAUCAGUCACCAUAUAAUUUUGGAUUGGUUGUUGUGGUGAAGUUUUCCACCAAUAGGAGAGAUGUUGUGGUGUGUUUUUUUUUUCUUUUGGCAAGCCUUUUCCGCCUGUAAGAGCUGUCGCUAAUGUCUGCAUGCUAUGUUUUCCUGUCUCAUACAGCGCGAUCGAGCGCCGAACGUGAUCAAAAUAAGCAGAAAAAAAGUAUCGCGGACAUAAUUUAUCAUAACUCUGGUUUUAUUUGGCCUAUCAACACAAUUUAAAAACUGGUAUAUAGGUUGAGGUCCUCACUUUUGAGAUAAGUUGAAACGGAGAGUCAACGAGGCUCCGUCUUGCAGCUACAUCCGGUUAAAUAUGUCAUGUGACUUGAACGCACACACAGACACACACACACGCACACACACACACACACUCAGAGUCUGUUUUUUAGCACCUCCAAAUAUGCUAUUUACAUAUUUGACAAGAAUGCAGAAGCUCCUUUUGCCCCUGAAAAAAAUCAAAUUUCAAACACAACUUGACUGGUCAUUUCUCCAAAAGACAACCAUGAAGCUCCAUCCAAACCUGAAGCAGGCAGUUGGUGCAUGUGUACAGUAACCUGAGGGGAGUGAGGUGAGUGCUUCUGAGGAGAACAUGAGCAGUGAAGAUUCACCUUGGAGCUAGAACAGAGACAUGCACAUGAUUAUACAGGGGCAGGGGCUCAAGUUUUUUCCAGUCGUUUAUACAAUAUGGAAAUUAAUGUGAAAUUAAAACACAAAGUAUUAAUAGAAAGGUAAUGACUGUCCUGUGUAGGUGACAGUGAUAUCCAAUAGGCUAGGCACUCACGAGGCUGGCUGUGGCAAGUGUAAGUGAAAGCAACACGCACUGGCAGGAAGAACAGCAAACGCCGAUGAAGGAAAAGGGUCUUUGCAGUGAUGGGCGUUACCAGAGAGGGCGAUGGCCAGAGGACACAAAUGGGACGGGGAGGCAGCACGUUGGGGGGGGGGGGCGACACGGCUCGGGCCCGCCAGUGCCCCAACGGGGUCCUAGUUAUUAUUUUUCCUCCCCUUUGAACUGGAAAAUGGCCCACUUCCCACUGGCGAAAACUCAUGAAAUUUGGCAGGACGACCGGGCCUGGUGAAAAAUUUGAUAUUCCGAAGUCGCCCAAACAAGAAAAUGCAAAAUGGCUCCAUAGCGCCCCCUAAGGUGAAAAUUCACACUAUUCACUGUCACGCCUGUACGCUUUGUCAAAAUGACACAAAAAUUGACACACACAUGUAUCUCAAUAAGAUCUACAAAAAAGUCAGUGCGGGCGUAUCUGUCAAAUGUACGGUUAAAGGGUUAUUUCGCAUUUUUUGCCGAUCCGCACACAUUGGAAUUUCGCUAACUCCUCCGAAGGCUUUCGUUCCACCGGCACCACAUUUGCUCAGGCCAAUCUACACCCCAUGGCCAUUAAAAGUUAUUCAAAUCAUGACGCUGCACCCCACGGUUUAGGUUCUAGGGGGCGCCAAAGAUAACCCUAAGAUCCACAUAUUUAAAAGUCUUAUAACUUUUUAUUUUUGCCCUCACUGGCCUCCAAGUUUUCUAGGAUGAUGCAAUGUCCAGCCAUCAACACAUUUGUGAAGGAAUUUUUACUCCCCAAAAGAGCGCCCCCCCAUGGCAGGAGAAAAAAGUCCAUUUUUUCUUGUCCCCUAAGGUGAAAAUACACAUUGUUGAGUGUAACACCUGUACGCUUUGGCAAAAUGACACAAAAAUUGACACACACAUGUAUCUCAAUAAGAUCUACGAAAAAGUCAAUGCGCGCGUAUCUGUCAAAUGUACGGUUAAAGGGUUAUUCCGCAUUUUUUGCCGAUCCGCACACAUUGGAAUUUCGCUAACUCCUCCGAAGGCUUUCGUUCCACCGGCACCACAUUUGCUCAGGCCAAUCUACACCCCAUGGCCAUUAAAAGUUAUUCAAAUCAUGAUGCUGCACCCCAUGGUUUAGGUUCUAGGGGGCGCCAAAAUUAACCCAAAAAUCCACAUUCUUAAAUGUUUUAUAACUUUUUAUUUUUGUCCUCACUGGCCUCCAAGUUUUCUAGGAUGAUGCAAUGUCCAGCCAUCAACACAUUUGUGAAGGAAUUUUUACUCCCCAAAAGAGCGCCCCCCCAUGGUAGGAGAAAAAAGUCAAUUUUUUCUUGUCCCCUUACAUAAAAAUACACAUUGUUGAGUGUCACGCCUGAACGCUUUGUCAAAAUGACACAAAAAUUGACAAUCAUGUGUAUCUCAAUUAGAUCUACGAAAAAGUCAAAGAGCGCGUAUCUGUAUAAUGUACGGUUAAAGGGCUAUUUUGCAUUUUUUGCCGAUUCGCACACAUUGGAAUGUGGCUAUCUCCUCCUAAGGCUUUCGUCCCACCGAUACCAAAUUUGCUCAGGGCAAUCUACACCCCAUGCCCAUUCAAAGUUGUAAAAAUCAUGACGCUGCACCCCACAGUUUACGUUCUAGGGGGCGCCAAAGAUGACCCAAAAAUCCACAUUCUUAAAAGUCAUUUUGGCCACUGCAGGAGUACAGAGUACUGCAGUUCUAGGGGGCGCCAAAGAUGACCCAAAAAUCCACAUUCUUAAAAGUCUUUUUGGCCACUGCAGGAGUACAGAGUACUGCAGGAUACACACACAUAUACACACACGCCAACAUACACACACACACACACACACACACACACACACACACACACACACACACACACUCAGAGUCUGUUUUUUAGCACCUGCAAAAACAUGCUGUUUACAUAUUUGACAAGAAUGCAGAGGCUUCCUUUUGCCCCUGAAAAAAAAUCAAAUUUCAAACACAACUUGACUGUUCAUUUCUCCAAAAGACAACCAUGAAGCUCCAUUUCAAACCUGAAGCAGAUAGUUGGUGCAUGUGUACAGUAACCUGAGGGGAGUGAGGUGACUAUUUCUGAGGAGAACAUGAGCAGUGAAGAUUCACCUUGGAGCUAGAACAGGGACGUGCACAUGAUUAUACAGGGGCAGGGGCUCAAGUUUUUUCCAGUCAUUUAUACAAUAUGGAAAUUAAUGUGAAAUUAAACCACAAAUAUGUGUGAUGAACUGUUUUUAAAACUUAAACUUCAAAUAAAAAUUGUAAACUUCAAAACAUAUGCAAAUUUUUAACAAAGAACAUAGUAAUUUACCUCUAUUUACAUCAAAAUGCAGGCAAUGGCCCAGGCGUUCUUUGUAAAAUUAUUUACAAAACACUGUAUAGUCUCACAAAUGUCACUUUUUAUUUAUGCCACUACAAAAAAACAUGAUGUAAAUGAUGCAUGAUGUAAAACAUGAUGUAAAAAACUUGUGUAGAUCCUCCUCUAUGUCAGUCCAUGUGUAAUUUUUCCAUAAUUCUUUGUUUUUUGCAGCAUUUUUGUUAGUGUAACUGCAGAUUGUGCUGACAGUGUCUAUGGCACAAAAAAAAAAAAAAAAUUAAAAUGCCUCAACAUGAACCCCUGGUGGUCUCUGAGGGUGAAACCUGCUAACUGCUGCAGCUCUGUCAGCUUCAGUCUCCCAUGCAGAGCUCUGAGCGCAUGUGUGGCUCUGCACCCUUAGCAGCGUUGCUAACUCCUCAGUAAGGAAAGCCUGCUUCAUGUCAGAGUCUCUAAACUCCAGAAGAAGUCGAUAAAAGUCCCUUUCUUUCUAAAAAAAAGUUGUUAGGGGGUCUGAAAAGUCAUUGAAUCUAACAACAAAGUUGCUAGGUUUGCAACUACGUGUCCCAGACUGCAUCCCUGCUGAGAGUCCCUCCCUCCCUUCUCAUGUUGCAGGAAGAACGUAAGCGCCCUCCCCUUGUCAAUCAGUCACCAUAUAAUUUUGGAUUGGUUGUUGUGGUGAAGUUUUCCACCAAUAGGAGAGAUGUUGUGGUGUGUUUUUUUUUUCUUUUGGCAAGCCUUUUCCGCCUGUAAGACCUGUCGCUAAUGUCUGCAUGCUAUGUUUUCCUGUCUCAUACAGCGCGAUUGAGCGCCGAACGUGAUCAAAAUAAGCAGAAAAAAAGUAUCGCGGACAUAAUUUAUCAUAACUCUGGUUUUAUUUGGCCUAUCAACACAAUUUAAAAACUGGUAUAUAGGUUGAGGUCCUCACUUUUGAGAUAAGUUGAAACGGAGAGUCAACGAGGCUCCGUCUUGCAGCUACAUCCGGUUAAAUAUGUCAUGUGACUUGAACGCACACACAGACACACACACACACACCAAACACACACACACACACACACACACACACUCAGAGUCUGGUUUUUAGCACCUGCAAAAACAUGCUAUUUACAUAUUUGACAAGAAUGCAGAGGCUCCUUUUGCCCCUGAAAAAAAUCAAAUUUCAAACACAACUUGACUGGUCAUUUCUCCAAAAGACAACCAUGAAGCUCCAUCCAAACCUGAAGCAGGCAGUUGGUGCAUGUGUACAGUAACCUGAGGGGAGUGAGGUGAGUGCUUCUGAGGAGAACAUGAGCAGUGAAGAUUCACCUUGGAGCUAGAACAGAGACAUGCACAUGAUUAUACAGGGGCAGGGGCUCAAGUUUUUUCCAGUCGUUUAUACAAUAUGGAAAUUAAUGUGAAAUUAAAACACAAAGUAUUAAUAGAAAGGUAAUGACUGUCCUGUGUAGGCGACAGUGAUAUCGAAUAGGCUAGGCACUCACGAGGCUGGCUGUGGCAAGUGUAAGUGAAAGCAACACGCACUGGCAGGAAGAACAGCAAACGCCGAUGAAGGAAAAGGGUCUUUGCAGUGAUGGGCGUUACCAGAGAGGGCGAUGGCCAGAGGACACAAAUGGGACGGGGAGGCAGCGCGUUGGGGGGGGGGGGGGGGGCGACACGGCUCGGGCCCGCCAGUGCCCCAACGGGGUCCUAGUUCUUUGUUUCUUUCUUAGGGCCCGAGCGUAGCUGCUAAGCAGCUGCGAGAGCCCUCUUGUUCCUGUAGUUUCCUUCUUUUGUUAUUAUUAUUAUUAUUAUUUUUCCUCCCCUUUGAACUGGAAAAUGGCCCACUUCCCACUGGCGAAAACUCAUGAAAUUUGGCAGGACGACCGGGCCUGGUGAAAAAUUUGAUAUUCCGAAGUCGCCCAAACAAGAAAAUGCAAAAUGGCUCCAUAGCGCCCCCUAAGGUGAAAAUUCACACUAUUCACUGUCACGCCGGUACGCUUUGUCAAAAUGACACAAAAAUUGACACACACAUGUAUCUCAAUAAGAUCUACAAAAAAGUCAGUGCGGGCGUAUCUGUCAAAUGUACGGUUAAAGGGUUAUUUCGCAUUUUUUGCCGAUCCGCACACAUUGGAAUUUCGCUAACUCCUCCGAAGGCUUUCGUUCCACCGGCACCACAUUUGCUCAGGCCAAUCUACACCCCAUGGCCAUUAAAAGUUAUUCAAAUCAUGACGCUGCACCCCACGGUUUAGGUUCUAGGGGGCGCCAAAGAUAACCCUAAGAUCCACAUAUUUAAAAGUCUUAUAACUUUUUAUUUUUGCCCUCACUGGCCUCCAAGUUUUCUAGGAUGAUGCAAUGUCCAGCCAUCAACACAUUUGUGAAGGAAUUUUUACUCCCCAAAAGAGCGCCCCCCCAUGGCAGGAGAAAAAAGUCCAUUUUUUCUUGUCCCCUAAGGUGAAAAUACACAUUGUUGAGUGUAACACCUGUACGCUUUGGCAAAAUGACACAAAAAUUGACACACACAUGUAUCUCAAUAAGAUCUACGAAAAAGUCAAUGCGCGCGUAUCUGUCAAAUGUACGGUUAAAGGGUUAUUCCGCAUUUUUUGCCGAUCCGCACACAUUGGAAUUUCGCUAACUCCUCCGAAGGCUUUCGUUCCACCGGCACCACAUUUGCUCAGGCCAAUCUACACCCCAUGGCCAUUAAAAGUUGUACAAAUCAUGACGCUGCACCCCACGGUUUACGUUCUAGGGGGCGCCAAAGAUAACCCAAAAAUCCACAGUCUUAAAAGUCUUAUAACUUUUUAUUUUUGUCCUCACUGGCCUCCAAGUUCUCUAGGAUGAUGCAAUGUCCAGCCAUCAACACAUUUGUGAAGGAAUUUUUACUCGCCAAAAGAGCGCCCCCCAUGGCAGGAGAAAAAAGUCCAUUUUUUCUUGUCUCCUAAGGCGAAAAUACACAUUGUUGACUGUCACGCCUUUACGCUUUGUCAAAAUGACACAAAAUUUGACACACACAUGUAUCUCAAUAAGAUCUACGAAAAAGUCAAUGCGAGCGUAUCUGUUCAAUGUACGGUUAAAGGGCUAUUUCGCAUUUUUUGCCGAUUCGCACACAUUGGAAUGUGGCUAACUCCUCCUAAAGCUUUUUUCCCAUCGGCUUCAAAUUUGCUCAGGUCAAUCUACACCCCAUGGCCAUUCAAAGUUGUACAAAUCAUGACGCUGCACCCCACGGUUUACGUUCUAGGGGGUGCCAAAGAGGACCCAAAUAUCCACAUUUUUAAAAGUCUUAUAACUUUUUAUUUUUGUCCUCACUGGCCUCCAAGUUUUCUAGGAUGAUGCAAUGUCCAGCCAUCAACACAUUUGUGAAGGAAUUUUUUCUCCCCAAAAGAGCGCCCCCCCAUGGCAGGAGAAAAAGUCAAGUUUUUCCUGCCCAUCGCUCAAUGGCUCAAAAGCAUCGCUCUCUCGGCAAAACCGAAAGGAGGAGCAACUUGCCAUUUGGAUAUAUACUAGCUCUGUUUGUGCCCUCACUCAUGGUCCAGACUUUUUUCAAAAAGGACAUGGAGUUUGUCUGCAGCGAGCGUUUUGGUAGAAACUGCGCCUCCCAUUCAUUAUAAUGGUAAAUGACCACAGACAAGUGCGCACACCAUCUUUGGACCUUGAGUGUGACGCGAUCAAGAGGGGUAGGCGGUCGCGCUGGGGGCGGCGCAACACGGCUCGGGCCCGCCAGUGCCCUAACGGGGCCCUAGUUUCUUCUUUUUCCUCCCCUUUGAACUGGAAAAUGGCCCACUUCCCACUGGCGAAAACUCAUGAAAUUUGGCAGGAUGACCGGGCCUGGUGAAAAAUUUGAUAUUCCGAAGUCGCCCAAACAAGAAAAUGCAAAAUGGCUCCAUAGCGCCCCCUAAGGUGAAAAUUCACACUAUUGACUGUCACGCCUUUACGCUUUGUCAUAUUGACACAAAAAUUGACACACACAUGUAUCUCAAUAAGAUCUACAAAAAAGUCAGUGCGGGCGUAUCUGUCAAAUGUACGGUUAAAGGGUUAUUGCGCAUUUUUUGCCGACCCGCACACAUUGGAAUUUCGCUAACUCCUCCGAAGGCUUUCGUUCCACCGGCACCACAUUUGCUCAGGCCAAUCUACACCCCAUGGCCAUUAAAAGUUAUUCAAAUCAUGACGCUGCACCCCACGGUUUAGGUUCUAGGGGGCGCCAAAGAUAACCCUAAAAUCCACAUAUUUAAAAGUCUUAUAACUUUUUAUUUUUGACCUCACUGGCCUCCAAGUUUUCUAGGAUGAUGCAAUGUCCAGCCAUCAACACAUUUGUGAAGGAAUUUUUAAUACCCCAAAAGAGCGCCCCCCCAUGGCAGGAGAAAAAAGUCCAUUUUUUCUUGUCCCCUAAGGUGAAAAUACACAUUGUUGAGUGUCACGCCUGUACGCUUUGUCAUAUUGACACAAAAUUUGACACACACAUGUAUCUCAAUAAGAUCUACGAAAAAGUCAAUGCGCGCAUAUCUGUCAAAUGUACGGUUAAAGGGUUAUUCCGCAUUUUUUGCUGAUCCGCACACAUUGGAAUUUCGCUAACUCCUCCUAAGGCUGGCGUUCCACCGGCACCACAUUUGCUCAGGCCAAUCUACACCCCAUGGCCAUUAAAAGUUAUUCAAAUCAUGACGCUGCACCCCACGGUUUAGGUUCUAGGGGGCGCCAAAGAUAACCCUAAAAUCCACAUAUUUCAAAGUCUUAUAACUUUUUAUUUUUGUCCUCACUGGCCUCCAAGUUUUCUAGGAUGAUGCAAUGUCCAGCCAUCAACACAUUUGUGAAGGAAUUUUUACUCCCCAAAAGAGCGCCCCCCCAUGGCAGGAGAAAAAAGUCCAUUUUUUCUUGUCCCAUAAGGUGAAAAAACACAUUGUUGAGAUUCACGCCUAUACGCUUUGUCAUAUUGACACAAAAUUUGACAAUCACGUGCCUUGCCUGGUAUCAUUUUUUUCAGCACAACCUCACCUGUGCGAAUUUACAGUUAUUUUAUCAUGUUGACAUACUGAAUUUACACAAUGGACCCAAAUUCACACACAAAACAUAAAAUCCCAGUGGAAAAAAGUAACAUUUUUACUGUGAAAACCACAAAUAUGUGUGAUGAACUGUUUUUAAAACUUAAACUUCAAAUAAAAAUUGUAAACUUCAAAACAUAUGCAAAUUUUUAACAAAGAACAUAGUGAUUUACCUCUAUUUACAUCAAAAUGCAGGCAAUGGCCCAGGCGUUCUUUGUAAAAUUAUUUACAAAACACUGUAUAGUCUCACAAAUGUCACUUUUUAUUUAUGCCACUACAAAAAAACAUGAUGUAAAUGAUGCAUGAUGUAAAACAUGAUGUAAAAAACUUGUGUAGAUCCUCCUGUAUGUCAGUCCAUGUGUAAUUUUUCCAUAAUUCUUUGUUUUUUGCAGCAUUUUUGUUAGUGUAACUGCAGAUUGUGCUGACAGUGUCUAUGGCACAAAAAAAAAAAAAAUUAAAAUGCCUCAACAUGAACCCCUGGUGGUCUCUGAGGGUGAAACCUGCUAACUGCUGCAGCUCUGUCAGCUUCAGUCUCCCAUGCAGAGCUCUGAGCGCAUGUGUGGCUCUGCACCCUUAGCAGCGUUGCUAACUCCUCAGUAAGGAAAGCCUGCUUCAUGUCAGAGUCUCUAAACUCCAGAAGAAGUCGAUAAAAGUCCCUUUCUUUCUAAAAAAAAGUCGUUAGGGGGUCUGAAAAGUCAUUGAAUCUAACAACAAAGUCGCUAGGUUUGCAACUACGUGUCCCAGACUGCAUCCCUGCUGAGAGUCCCUCCCUCCCUUCUCAUGUUGCAGGAAGAACGUAAGCGCCCGCCCCUUGUCAAUCAGUCACCAUAUAAUUUUGGAUUGGUUGUUGUGGUGAAGUUUUCCACCAAUAGGAGAGAUGUUGUGGUGUGUUUUUUUUUUCUUUUGGCAAGCCUUUUCCGCCUGUAAGAGCUGUCGCUAAUGUCUGCAUGCUAUGUUUUCCUGUCUCAUACAGCGCGAUCGAGCGCCGAACGUGAUCAAAAUAAGCAGAAAAAAAGUAUCGCGGACAUAAUUUAUCAUAACUCUGGUUUUAUUUGGCCUAUCAACACAAUUUAAAAACUGGUAUAUAGGUUGAGGUCCUCACUUUUGAGAUAAGUUGAAACGGAGAGUCAACGAGGCUCCGUCUUGCAGCUACAUCCGGUUAAAUAUGUCAUGUGACUUGAACGCACACACAGACACACACACGCACACACACACACACACACACACACACACACACACACACACACACACACACACACACACACACACUCAGAGUCUGGUUUUUAGCACCUGCAAAAACAUGCUAUUUACAUAUUUGACAAGAAUGCAGAGGCUCCUUUUGCCCCUGAAAAAAAUCAAAUUUCAAACACAACUUGACUGGUCAUUUCUCCAAAAGACAACCAUGAAGCUCCAUCCAAACCUGAAGCAGGCAGUUGGUGCAUGUGUACAGUAACCUGAGGGGAGUGAGGUGAGUGCUUCUGAGGAGAACAUGAGCAGUGAAGAUUCACCUUGGAGCUAGAACAGAGACAUGCACAUGAUUAUACAGGGGCAGGGGCUCAAGUUUUUUCCAGUCGUUUAUACAAUAUGGAAAUUAAUGUGAAAUUAAAACACAAAGUAUUAAUAGAAAGGUAAUGACUGUCUCGGUAGGUGACAGUGAUAUCCAAUAGGCUAGGCACUCACGAGGCUGGCUGUGGCAAGUGUAAGUGAAAGCAACACGCACUGGCAGGAAGAACAGCAAACGCCGAUGAAGGAAAAGGGUCUUUGCAGUGAUGGGCGUUACCAGAGAGGGCGAUGGCCAGAGGACACAAAUGGGACGGGGAGGCAGCACGUUGGGGGGGGGGACGCGACACGGCUCGGGCCCGCCAGUGCCCCAACGGGGUCCUAGUUAGGGCCCGAGCGUAGCUGCUAAGCAGCUGCGAGAGCCCUCUUGUUCCUGUAGUUUCCUUCUUUUGUUAUUAGGGCCCGAGCGUAGCUGCUAAGCAGCUGCGAGAGCCCUCUUGUUCCUGCAUGUUUCCUUCUUUCGUUAUUAUUUUUCCUCCGCUUUAAACUGGAAAAUGGCCCACUUCCCACUGGCGAAAACUCAGGAAAUUUGGCAGGACGACCGGGCCUGGUGAAAAAUUCGAUAUUCUGAAGUCGCCCAAACAAUAAAAUGCAAAAUGGCUCCAUAGCGCCCCCUAAGGUGAAAAUUCACAUGACGGCUGUACGCUUUGUCAUAUUGACACAAAAAUUGACACACACAUGUAUCUCAAUAAGAUCUACAAAAAAGUCAGUGCGGGCGUAUCUGUCAAAUGUACGGUUAAUGGGUUAUUUUGCAUUUUUUGCAGAUCUGCACACAUUGGAAUUUCGCUAACUCCUCCGAAGGCUUUCGUUCGACCGGCACCACAUUUGCGCAGGCCAAUCUACCCCCCAUGGCCAUUAAAAGUUGUACAAAUCAUGACGCUGCACCCCACGGUUUACGUUCUAGGGGGCGCCAAAGAUAACCCAAAAUCCACAUAUUUAAAAGUCUUAUAACUUUUUAUUUUUGUCCUCACUGCCCUCCAAGUUUUCUAGGAUGAUGCAAUGUCCAGCCAUCAACACAUUUGUGAAGGAAUUUUUACUCCCCAAAAGAGCGCCCCCCCAUGGCAGGAGAAAAAAGUCAAUUUUUUCUUGUCCCCUUACAUGAAAAUACACAUUGUUGAGUGUCACGCCUGUACGCUUUAUCAUAUUGACACAAAAAUUGACAAUCAUGUGUAUCUCAAUUAGAUCUACGAAAAAGUCAAAAAGCGCGUAUCUGUAUAAUGUACGGUUAAAGGGCUAUUUCGCAUUUUUUGCCGAUUCGCACACAUUGGAAUGUGGCUAUCUCCUCCUAAGGCUUUCGUCCCACCGAUACCAAAUUUGCUCAGGGCAAUCUACACCCCAUGCCCAUUCAAAGUUGUAAAAAUCAUGACGCUGCACCCCACGGUUUACGUUCUAGGGGGCGCCAAAGAUGACCCAAAAAUCCACAUUCUUAAAAGUCAUUUUGGCCACUGCAGGAGUACAGAGUACUGCAGUUCUAGGGGGCGCCAAAGAUUACCCAAAAAUCCACAUUCUUAAAAGUCUUUUUGGCCACUGCAGGAGUACAGAGUACUGCAGGAUACACACACAUACACACACACACACACACACACACACACACACACACACACACACACACACACACUCAGAGUCUGUUUUUUAGCACCUGCAAAAACAUGCUGUUUACAUAUUUGACAAGAAUGCAGAGGCUUCCUUUUGCCCCUGAAAAAAAUCAGAUUUCAAACACAACUUGACUGUUCAUUUCUCCAAAAGACAACCAUGAAGCUCCAUCCAAACCUGAAGCAGAUAGUUUGUGCAUGUGUACAGUAACCUGAGGGGAGUGAGGUGACUAUUUCUGAGAAGAACAUGAGCAGUGAAGAUUCACCUUGGAGCUAGAACAGGGACGUGCACAUGAUUACACAGGGGCAGGGGCUCAAGUUUUUUCCAGUCAUUUAUACAAUAUGGAAAUUAAUGUGAAAUUAAACCACAAAUAUGUGUGAUGAACUGUUUUUAAAACUUAAACUUCAAAUAAAAAUUGUAAACUUCAAAACAUAUGCAAAUUUUUAACAAAGAACAUAGUAAUUUACCUCUAUUUACAUCAAAAUGCAGGCAAUGGCCCAGGCGUUCUUUGUAAAAUUAUUUACAAAACACUGUAUAGUCUCACAAAUGUCACUUUUUAUUUAUGCCACUACAAAAAAACAUGAUGUAAAUGAUGCAUGAUGUAAAACAUGAUGUAAAAAACUUGUGUAGAUCCUCCUCUAUGUCAGUCCAUGUGUAAUUUUUCCAUAAUUCUUUGUUUUUUGCAGCAUUUUUGUUAGUGUAACUGCAGAUUGUGCUGACAGUCUAUGGCAACAAAAAAAAAAACUGAAAAUGCCUCAACAUGAACCCCUGGUGGUCUCUGAGGGUGAAACCUGCUAACUGCUGCAGCUCUGUCAGCUUCAGUCUCCCAUGCAGAGCUCGGAGCGCAUGUGUGGCUCUGCACCCUUAGCAGCGUUGCUAACUCCUCAGUAAGGAAAGCCUGCUUCAUGUCAGAGUCUCUAAACUCCAGAAGAAGUCGAUAAAAGUCCCUUUCUUUCUAAAAAAAGUCGUUAGGGGGUCUGAAAAGUAAUUGAAUCUAACAACAAAGUCGCUAGGUUUGCAACUACGUGUUCCAGACUGCAUCCCUGCUGAGAGUCCCUCCCUCCCUUCUCAUGUUGCAGGAAGAACGUAAGCACCCGCCCCUUGUCAAUCAGUCACCAUAUAAUUUUGGAUUGGUUGUUGUGGUGAAGUUUUCCACCAAUAGGAGAGAUGUUGUGGUGUGUUUUUUUUUUCUUUUGGCAAGCCUUUUCCGCCUGUAAGACCUGUCGCUAAUGUGUGCAUGCUAUGUUUUCCUGUCUCAUACAGCGCGAUCGAGCGCCGAACGUGAUCAAAAUGAGCAGAAAAAAAGUAUCGCGGACAUAAUUUAUCAUAACUCUGGUUUUAUUUGGCCUAUCAACACAAUUUAAAAACCGGUAUAUAGGUUGAGGUCCUCACUUUGGAGAUAAGUUGAAACGGAGAGUUAACGAGGCUCUGUCUUGCAGCUACAUCCGGUUAAAUAUGUCAUGUGACUUGAACGCUGGGGAGCGUCAAUCGAAUCGAAUCAAACCUAACUCUCAGUUGAAUCUUUAAAAUUCACCUCAGAAAUAUGCUUAUUAUUCUUCUCAGAGUACUGCAGGAUACACACACACACACACACAGACACACACACACACACACACACACGCACGCACACACACACACACACACACACACACACACACACACACACACACACUCAGAGUCUGUUUUUUAGCACCUGCAAAAACAUGCUAUUUACAUAUUUGACAAGAAUGCAGAGGCUUCCUUUUGCCCCUGAAAAAAAUCAAAUUUCAAACACAACUUGACUGCUCAUUUCUCCAAAAGACAACCAUGAAGCUCCAUCCAAACCUGAAGCAGGCAGUUGGUGCAUGUGUACAGUAACCUGAGGGGAGUGAGGUGACUGCUUCUGAGGAGAACAUGAGCAGUGAAGAUUCACCUUGGAGCUAGAACAGGGACGUGCACAUGAUAAUACAGGGGCAGGGGCUCAAGUUUUUUCCAGUCGUUUAUACAAUAUGGAAAUUAAUGUGAAAUUAAAAAACAAAGUAUGACUGUCCUGUGUAGGUGACACUGAUAUCCAAUAGGCUAGGCACUCACGAGGCUGGCUGUGGCAAGUGUAAGUGAAAGCAACACGCACUGACAGGAAGAACAGCAAACGCCGAUGAAGGAAAAGGGUCUUUGCAGUGAUGGGCGUUACCAGAGAGGGCGAUGGCCAGAGGACACGAAUGGGACGGGGAGGCAGCGCGUUGGGGGGGGGGGGGGGGUGCGACAUGGCUCGGGCCCGCCAGUGCCCCAACGGGGCCCUAGUUAUUAUUUUUCCUCCCCUUUGAACUGGAAAAUGGCCCACUUCCCACUGGCGAAAACUCAUGAAAUUUGGCAGGACGACCGGGCCUGGUGAAAAAUUUGAUAUUCCGAAGUCGCCCAAACAAGAAAAUGCAAAAUGGCUCCAUAGCGCCCCCUAAGGUGAAAAUUCACACUAUUGACUGUCACGCCUGUACGCUUUGUCAAAAUGACACAAAAAUUGACACACACAUGUAUCUCAAUAAGAUCUACAAAAAAGUCAGUGCGGGCGUAUCUGUCAAAUGUACGGUUAAAGGGUUAUUUCGCAUUUUUUGCCGAUCCGCACACAUUGGAAUUUCGCUAACUCCUCCGAAGGCUUUCGUUCCACCGGCACCACAUUUGCUCAGGCCAAUCUACACCCCAUGGCCAUUAAAAGUUAUUCAAAUCAUGACGCUGCACCCCACGGUUUAGGUUCUAGGGGGCGCCAAAGAUAACCCUAAGAUCCACAUAUUUAAAAGUCUUAUAACUUUUUAUUUUUGCCCUCACUGGCCUCCAAGUUUUCUAGGAUGAUGCAAUGUCCAGCCAUCAACACAUUUGUGAAGGAAUUUUUACUCCCCAAAAGAGCGCCCCCCCAUGGCAGGAGAAAAAAGUCCAUUUUUUCUUGUCCCCUAAGGCGAAAAUACACAUUGUUGAGUGUAACACCUGUACGCUUUGGCAAAAUGACACAAAAAUUGACACACACAUGUAUCUCAAUAAGAUCUACGAAAAAGUCCAUGCGCGCGUAUCUGUCAAAUGUACGGUUAAAGGGUUAUUCCGCAUUUUUUGCCGAUCCGCACACAUUGGAAUUUCGCUAACUCCUCCGAAGGCUUUCAUUCCACCGGUACCACAUUUGCUCAGGCCAAUCUACACCCCAUGGCCAUUAAAAGUUAUUCAAAUCAUGACGCUGCAUCCCACGGUUUAGGUUCUAGGGGGCGCCAAAGAUAACCCUAAAAUCCACAUAUUUAAAAGUCUUAUAACUUUUUAUUUUUGUCCUCACUGGCCUCCAAGUUUUCUAGGAUGAUGCAAUGUCCAGCCAUCAACACAUUUGUGAAGGAAUUUUUACUCCCCAAAAGAGCGCCCCCCCAUGGCAGGAAAAAAAAGCCAAUUUUUUCUUGUCCCCUAAGGUGGAAAUUCACACUAUUGACUGUCACGCCUGUACGCUUUAUCAUAUUGACACAAAAAUUGACACACAUAUGUAUCUCAAUAAGAUCUACAAAAGAGUCGAUUAGCGCGUAUCUGUCAAAUGUACGGUUAAAGGGCUAUUUUGCAUUUUUUGCCGAUUCGCACACAUUGGAAUGUGGCUAACUCCUCCUAAGGCUUUCGUCCCACUGACACCAAAUUUGCUCAGGCCAAUCUACACCCCAUGGCCAUUCGAAGUUGUAAAAAUCAUGACGCUGCACCCCACGGUUUACGUUCUAGGGGGCGCCAAAGAUGACCCAAAAAUCCACAUAUUUCAAAGAAUCCACAUCCCCCCCCCCCCCCCAUAUGGCAGGAGAAAAAGUUUUUUCCUGCCCAUCGCUCAAUGGCUCAAUCGCAUCGCUCUCCAGGCAACACCGUAAGGAGGAGCAACCUGCCAUUUCGAUAUAUCAUAGCUGUGUUUGUGCCCUCACUCAUGGUCCAGACUUUUUUCAAAUAGGACAUGAAGUUUGUCUGCAGCGAGUGUUUUGGUAGAAACUGCGCCUCCCAUUCAUUAUAAUAGGAAAUGACCACAGACAAGUGCGCACACCAUCUUUGGAUCUUGAGUGUGACGCGAUCGGGAGGGGGAGGCGGUCGCACUGGGGGCGGCGCGACACGGCUCGGGCCCGACAGUGCCCCAACGGGGUCCUAGUUAUUAUUUUUCCUCCCCUUUGAACUGGAAAAUGGCCCACUUCCCACUGGCGAAAACUCAUGAAAUUUGGCAGGACGACCGGGCCUGGUGAAAAAUUUGAUAUUCUGAAGUCGCCCAAACAAUACAAUGCAAAAUGGCUCCAUAGCGCCCCCUAAGGUGAAAAAUUCACCUGACGCCUGUACGCUUUGUCAAAAUGACACAAAAAUUGACACACACAUGUAUCUCAAUAAGAUCUACAAAAAAGUCAGUGCGGGCGUAUCUGUCAAAUGUACGGUUAAAGGGUUAUUUCGCAUUUUUUGCCGAUCCGCACACAUUGGAAUUUCGCUAACUCCUCCGAAGGCUUUCGUUCCACCGGCACCACAUUUGCUCAGGCCAAUCUACACCCCAUGGCCAUUAAAAGUUAUUCAAAUCAUGACGCUGCACCCCACGGUUUAUGUUCUAGGGGGCGCCAAAGAUAACCCUAAAAUCCACAUAUUUCAAAGUCUUAUAACUUUUUAUUUUUGCCCUCACUGGCCUCCAAGUUUUCUAGGAUGAUGCAAUGUCCAGCCAUCAACACAUUUGUGAAGGAAUUUUUACUCCCCAAAAGAGCGCCCCCCCAUGGCAGGAGAAAAAAGUCCAUUUUUUCUUGUUCCAUAAGGUGAAAAUUCACACUAUUGACUGUCACGCCUGUACGCUUUGUCAAAAUUACACAAAAAUUGACACACACAUGUAUCUCAAUAAGAUCUACAAAAAAGUCAGUGCGGGCGUAUCUGUCAAAUGUACGGUUAAAGGGUUAUUGCGCAUUUUUUGCCGAUCCGCACACAUUGGAAUUUCGCUAACUCCUCCGAAGGCUUUCGUUCCACCGGCACCACAUUUGCUCAGGCCAAUCUACACCCCAUGGCCAUUAAAAGUUAUUCAAAUCAUGACGCUGCACCCCACGGUUUAGGUUCUAGGGGGCGCCAAAGAUAACCCUAAAAUCCACAUAUUUAAAAGUCUUAUAACUUUUUAUUUUUGUCCUCUCUGGCCUCCAAGUUUUCUAGGAUGAUGCAAUGUCCAGCCAUCAACACAUUUGUGAAGGAAUUUUUACUCCCUAAAAGAGCGCCCCCCCAUGGCAGGAGAAAAAAGUCCAUUUUUUCUUGUCCCAUAAGGUGAAAAUACACAUUGUUGACUGUCAUACCUGUAUGCUUUGUCAUAUUGACACAAAAUUUGACACACACAUGUAUCUCAAUAAGAUCUACGAAAAAGUCAAUGCGCGCGUAUCUGUAAAAUGUACGGUUAAAGGGCUAUUUUGCAUUUUUUGCUGAUUAGCACACAUUGGAAUGUGGCUAACUCCUCCUAAGGCUUUCGUCCCACUGACACCAAAUUUGCUCAGGCCAAUCUACACCCCAUGGCCAUUCAAAGUUUUAAAAAUCAUGACGCUGCACCCCACGGUUUACGUUCUAGGGGGCGCCAAAGAUGACCCAAAUAUCCACAUUCUUAAAAGAAUCCACAUCCCUUUCCCCCCCCCCUCCCAUCCCCCAUCCCCCAUGGCAGGAGAAACAGUCAAGUUUUUCCUGCCCAUCACUCAAUGGCUCAAUCGCAUCGCUCUCCCGGCAACACCGUAACGAGGAGCAACUUGCCGUUUGGAUAUAUCCUAGCUGUGUUUGUGCCCUCACUCAUGGUCCAGACUUUUUUCAAAUAGGACAUGUAGUUUGUCUGCAGCGAGUGUUUUGGUAGAAACUGCGCCUCCCAUUCAUUAUAAUGGGAAAUGACCACAGACAAGUGCGCACACCAUCUUUGGACCUUGAGUGUGACGCGAUCGGGAGGGGGAGGCGGUCGCACUGGGGGCGGCGCAACGCGGCUCGGGCCCGCCAGUGCCCCAACGGGGCCCUAGUUAGGGCCCGAGCGUAGCUGCUAAGCAGCUGCGAGAGCCCUCUUGUUCCUGUAGUUUCCUUCUUUUGUUAUUAGGGCCCGAGCGUAGCUGCUAAGCAGCUGCGAGAGCCCUCUUGUUCCUGUAGUUUCCUUCUUUUGUUAUUAUUAGGGCCCGAGCGUAGCUGCUAAGCAGCUGCGAGAGCCCUCUUGUUCCUGCAUGUUUCCUUCUUUUGUUAUUAUUAUUAUUUUUCCUCCCCUUUGAACUGGAAAAUGGCCCACUUCCCACUGGCGAAAACUCAUGAAAUUUGGCAGGACGACCGGGCCUGGUGAAAAAUUUGAUAUUCUGAAGUCGCCCAAACAAUAAAAUGCAAAAUGGCUCCAUAGCGCCCCCUAAGGUUAAAAUUCACACUAUUGACUGUCACGCCUUUACGCUUUGGCAAAAUGACACAAAAAUUGACACACACAUGUAUCUCAAUAAGAUCUACGAAAAAGUCAGUGCGGGCGUAUCUGUCAAAUUUACGGUUAAAGGUUUAUUUCGCAUUUUUUGCCGAUCCACACACAUCGGAAUUUCGCUAACUCCUCUGAAGACUUUCGUUCCAUCGGCACAACAUUUGCUCAGGUCAAUCUACACCCCAUGGCCAUUAAAAGUUAUUCAAAUCAUGACGCUGCACCCCACGGUUUAGGUUCUAGGGGGCGCCAAAGAUAACCCUAAAAUCCACAUAUUUAAAAGUCUUAUAACUUUUUAUUUUUGUCCCCACUGGCCUCCAAGUUUUCUAGGAUGAUGCAAUGUCCAGCCAUCAACACAUUUGUGAAGUAAUUUUUACUCCCCAAAAGAGCGCCCCCCCAUGGCAGGAGAAAAAAGUCAAUUUUUUCUGGUCCACUAAGGUGAAAAUACACAUUGUUGAGUGCUACGCCUGUAUGUUUUGUCAUAUUGACACAAAAAUUUGACAAUCACGUGUAUCUCAAUAAGAUCUACGAAAAAGUCAAAGGGCGCGUAUCUGUAAAAUGUACGGUUAAAGGGCAAUUUCGCAUUUUUUGCCGAUCCGCACACAUUGGAAUUUCGCUAACUCCUCCGAAGGCUUUCGUUCCACCGGCAACAAUUUUGCUCAGGCCAAUCUACACCCCAUGGCCAUUAAAAG